rnacentral:lncRNA from 1 species
CCUAAGCCGCCGACCCCUCCCCCUUGAAUCUAAAAAACCAGCCUUCCACCCCACCACCUCCAGCCGACCUGUCACCAAACCAGCGCCGCCGCCAGUCCCUUCACCCUCACUUACGACAGCCAAGCCGCCCAACCCCUCUGCCGCCAGCGACCCCUCCUGGUUCUCUCAUCUCACCACCCGAAGACACACACAUACUAACAGAAACACAAACACGGACAUAAGGAAACAGAAAAUUUGGAGGAUUUUUUUAAAAAAGGGGAAGCAGCAAGAAAACAACAAAAAGUUGGUAGUUCUCUUCGUUCAAUUUUUGGAUAUUAAGAAUGGAGUUAGUUGAGGUUUGAAGUCGGUUCGUUCGCCGAUCAAGGUUCGGGACAGUGUUCUUAUUGCUAUUUUUAAUUCUGUUCGCGGCUUAUAGCUCCUGUUCCAUUGUUGUUGUUCGUCUCGAUUUUUUUUAUCGUCGAAGUUCGCUUGUAUUUGCUUUCAAACAGAAUUAAUCAAAACCUUCUUGCGCUUUCAGGUUUGUUCCUUUCCUUUACAUUUUAUUUUUUGUUGAUUUUCAGUGUGGUAUAAGCCGGGGCUUAAGAGAAUCUGGAGUUUUCAUGCUUCAAUCUAUUUUAAGGAGAAACUAAGGGAAUAUAGUGUGUGUUAAAAUAAUCGCUAUUAGGAUUUAAUUUUUGAAGCUUGAUAUGAGAUUUUUGAUAGGCAUCAUUAGAGUAUUCUAGUACUUUUCCCUUUCAUGUUAAUAUUUUAAAACAUAUUUGACGUACUCUGUUGAUUGAAAAAUGCACUCUCUCAAGGAUAAAAUCCUUAUAGAUUGGUCUUAAGGUUUUGGAAAGAUUACAAAAGUAUUGUCCUAGUCUUGGUAGUAAUAUCUUAUUAAUCUCCUUGGGGUCUAUGAUAGGUUAUGACGAUGAGAUCUUAAGCAGCUCUUUUCUAAUUUCAAUUCAUGCUAGAUUAAGCUAUUGCAUUACCAUGUUUUUCGUUAGGCUCCUUGAAUGUUUAUUGCAACAAGUUGUGUAGAGGUUGCCUUAUAUUUUAUAAACCGGAGAGCAGAUCUAGCUAGCCUUCGAUUAUUUUUAUAGGAAAUGGAGAUUGAGAUGCAUAUCAUGGGAAUGGAAAAAGACUUAGCUCGUUAGUGGUUAAUUUGUUCAUAUGCUUUAAGAUUGAGCUCGGUCUAAAUAAAAAUGAAAAGUUACACACAAAAAUGAGCAUGAAAUGAAUCGGUAUUUAUUUUAGUUUUAGUUUUAUUUUAUUUCUACCUUUGUUACAUUUAAUCGCUAGGAGUAUGUUUGGGCCGUCAUCACCCGGGUAGGCAAACUUUAGGAUUUUUGUUAGUUUUGAGGCGAGAGGUCGUUCCUUUAGUUAAAUUCAUCCGGGGAAUGCCUUGAAGGAUUUGUAUAUAUUUUAUUUCGGAGAAUGCCCCGUAGUAUUCUGUAAUUGGAGGCCAAAAGUAGAACUUGUAGUGUUUUAUUCUUGUUUUAUUUUUCUUUAUUAGGUGGGGACGACCUCGAGCCUCUUAUGUGUUAAUUUUUCCAUUUCUGUGUUUAUUACCUCAAUUCGAAUAUUUUAAAAGCCGACUAGCUCAAGUAUGCAACCGUACUAGUUACGGAAUUUGGGGAGUGCCUAAGACCUUCUCCCCGAGUCAAAUGAACAACCUUACCCGAAACUCUGGUGUAGACUUAGUUUUGGAGUCCAAAGUGUUUUUAAAAGGAAAAUCAUUUUAAAAAAAUGGUGACCUGGCACACCGAAACCAAUGUUAGGUGGCGACUCUGAGUCAUUUCUUUUUGAACACAAUUUUGUCACUUUUAAUUGAAAAUCCUUUUUGAGCUUACAAAUCCUUUUAUUUAUUUAAGAGGUUUAGUGAGGUGGUAAAAAGGGCGUGUGACACUCCUGCUACUACUGUAUGUUUGUGUUGCUUCUUUUGUCAAUAUGGUUGGCCUUGCAUGUCUGAUACUCUUUCAUUCUUCUCUAUUUAUAUGGCGAAGUGCAGAAUCAUGAUUCUUUCUUGAUUGAUCUUGAUUUCCUCAAGUUACGACUGAUUGCAAAGGUUUUCUUAUAAACCCCUAAUUCUACCUGUUUGUUUGAGUUGAUUGAUUCCUUUCCUUUAUUUGCUGUGAUGUUGUACCCCUGCUGAAUCCUUUCCCCAAUUAAGUAUAUUUUGUACUUAGACUCAAUUAUUUACUAUAUACUUUUAAUAUCCCCUAUAAGGUCAGAAAUUAAUCUUUCUAGAAUUGGUUUUCUUUCCUUAAUUAUUCCUGUUAGUAUCCGUUUGAGCAGUAAUUCCUUGACUAAAGGAAAGUACUUGUAUUAAUUGAUUUUGAUUGUGAUUAUUUCUAUGUUUGUUUUAAAACUUUACUUUUUACCUUAUUUUCUAUUCGUUUUCAAAGCUAUAAAUACCCUACCCUAUCUUAUCUAAAGACACGAACAACUGAGUUAGAAAAAAUACACUUACACAUUGAAACUCUCUUUCUUUCUCUACUACUUAUGCUAAUGCCUUGUCUAGCUGGCUGAAAGCCAAGGCUGGACUUUGGAACCCUGAUUACUUUUCUUUUCCUACACUUUGCUUCUUCAACCGGUAUGUCCCUAGUUUAAAUUCUAAAACUCAAACCUAUGUGUUCUUUUGUUGUCAAUCACUGUCUCUUUCUGCACUGACUUAAUGGCUCAUGUUGUUGCACUUUUGUUUACUGCUUUAAUCAGCAUGCUUAACUUUCUGCCCACUUUUGUUCAAAUGUAAUUAGCAUGUUUUCCUGUUUGUAUCCCUCAACUAGCAUGUCUUCUAAGGUACUUGAGUCAUGACUAAUUAUGUGUUUCUGUUUGGGUCUUCUAUGUCCCCAACCCCUACUCCCCUGUUUGUAACUGCUGCAGCAUAUACUCCUCUCUGAACUUGUUCUGUAUGUAUGUUGUGGCUCCUACCCCCCUUUUCCCUUUCAAAAAACUGUUUUGUUAGGCAAUUCUUCUGCUAUUUUUUUUACAAACUCACUUCAAACAUGUUGUUUUCAAAAACUAUUUUCAACUCCACUCCUUUGAGUCUGUAUCAAGCAUUCUCACAUGCACUCUUAGACUACUAGGUUCUUCCCUCUUGUGUGAGCCUUGCUUUGGGACCCUUUGAGCUCAUUCUGAACCUUGACACAUAAGGGCAGGCCUUUCCACACUGCACUUACUCUUGAUUAUGCAAUCUGGGUGUGAGCACUGCGUGAGACCCCUUGAGGUCCUUAGGGAACUCUGACACACCCAGAUAUGAGAAAAGGCUUUGGAACAAUAUUGGCUUUUGAGGUGGUUCAUUACAUAACUCAGAGAGGAAAUCAAGAUCAGGCUUCCUAUAGUUGUAACAUCUUAUUUUUGCAUUUUUUCUUAUGUAGUUCAGUACAGGGUAUGUAAUAAUUUGUAAACAAUAUUGGGGUGGUUAGUGGAAGUGACGGGGAAUAUGCAUGCUAUAUAGUAAGGAGUAGAAAACAUGUUAUUAGGUUUAUAUUCCUACUUGCGCAAUAGAAACCAUGCUUAUGACUCAUUUCAUGCAUUAGAGAUCAUGUUCCCUAGGACUUAUGCUUACUGUUUUCAGCAUGUGCAUUUCACUAUCCUAUCACUUAUAAAAUCUUGCGUUAAUUGUGUUAAUAACUGGAGUUUCUGCGAUCAUAUUCCUACUGCCAUGCACUUAAAGAUCCCGUUUUAGGCUAAACAACACUAACAAACAUGUCAUUUUUGCAUAUCCUGGAAAUCAUGUUUAAACACUGUAAUAUUUGUGUAUAUAGAAAUCCUGCUUAGGAUUCUGCAUCUUUGUGCAUUAGAUACCAUGUCUUUAAGAUUUCAUUUAUAUUCUCUUAAGCAUGCUUAGGCUAGCUAUGAAUGCAUAAAAGGAAUAAUACAAUUUUACUCAGUUUUUACAAGCAACUGACCAUAAUUCUAUGUGUUGAACACCUAGAACAACAUGUUUUAGGUAAUAUAAAUAAUCCCCAAACCGGCUUAUUAAUUCUGAAUAACUACUGAAUACUGCUUACGCCUAGGCAAACCUUAGGUAAUUGCUUAAAUAAAACUGGAAUUGCUUUUGUUUAAUUAUCAACUGCUACAACUAGCAGGCAGACCUGAUUUGGACUUCUUUUCUGAAUUAUAUAAUGAAUAUGGUUUUGACUAAACACCCUGCUUUAGGAUUUUAAAAUUCAGACCUUAACUGUGUAUAAGUCGUGCUGUCUAUAUGCAUUGUUUGCGGAGGUAUAACUGAGCCUUCUAUUUGCUUAUAUGUUUCCCCCUAAUUGCAGUUCUAUAUGUUUUGUAUGUCGCCUUAGAAUUUUACUUUUAAACCUACGGGUCAUCCUAGAACCUCCUUCUUAUAGGAAUAUGAGUCCUAAAUUCCUUCGGGACUGAUAGGAAUGGGACGGGUAACAACAUACAAUAGAGGGUUGAGACCAAUUAUCGCUCUAAUUAGCUUUAUGGGGUGGGAAAGGGUAGAUAUGGAUAUGAUGACCGGUGCGCUAAUGCCACAUGUAUCCCAUCUUUUGAGGAGUGUCAUACCGGGCAUUGCAUUGAUGUGAUCCAUAUUACAAACAAACCUAGGACACCCUUUUUAUUUUUAUAAGUACGCUUAGAUUGUAACUCUUUUUCAAAACCUCCCUUUCAAUAAUUGUUCUCAAACACUUGUGUAUCUAAACUUAAACCCCCUAUUACUUGAGCCUUACUUGUUUACUUGCUAAUUGCACAAAUUCACAAAAACUGUCUGGUCGGGAACCACACUAGUGGAUCAUGAGGGGUGCCUAAUACCUUCCCCUUAGGAUAAUUACAAGCCCUUAUCCUAUCUCUACUUAUCAAACGUAGUUGUAGAUAAACCCUGUAGGUGCCCUAACGCACCUUAAAAAUUGUUAGGUGGCGACUCUUCAAAUACCCAAAUCCCAAAAGGAAAUGAGUCACUACACCCCAUGAAUGUCGAAACCCGAAUUCCUCUCCGCAUGGGGGGAAAAAGGGGGCAUGACAACAUGGUGACUCUGUUGGGGAUAUUUAGGCUUUUACCAUUUCAGAUUGUUCUUGUGAAUUUGUACCCCUCCCUUAUAUGCAAUUACUUGUUUAAUUCCUUUAAGCGUUUAAUUUUCAAAAGCGUACUGACAUAUCCUCUUUGUUUUCUUCCUUUAUUGCUGCUUUAAAUGAUGAAACUGCUGUAUUUAUCGCUUUCUUAAUGUGCAUAUACAUGCCAACAUACUUUUAAUUAUUGCAUAAUCAUGCUCAUCAUCAUACUCCACUCGUGCCAAACAAAUACUAUAGCAACGCUUUAAUGAGUGGUUGCGCUCUUCCUAUAUCAUUACCCCUUAAAUUCGGAAAGGCAUAUUUGCGUUAAAACUAGUCGAUCAGUGGUGCAGUCGACAGUUCUGUGCCUUCCUCCUUGAGUUGUUCGCUCAAGGGUACCAGUCUAAAAUCCCAUACAAACCUUACUCUGUUUAAAUUGUGCAUGCAUCAUGGUCAAACCUAGUCAGAUCAGUUCUGUCAUCCACAUAAUGAUACUUUAAGAUAGCCUUGUCCAAAAGUCUACUGGGUCUCCCUAAACCCAAACGGAUAUUAUCACGUUCUGUGCAUUUAUUUGGAGAACUAAAUGUCGAUGUGCUGAUCAUAAAUGUACAAAUAGUCGAGUCCGGUGGGGGUAGGGUCUAACCCUUUUGUUUUGCAGAAAAUGAGGUGAGAGGUCCCUAGUUUCAUUAUGGUUAGCACAUCCCCACUCUUGCUAGUCUGGUGGAGGAGUCUUCCAUCGAGUGACCAAAUCAAUGAGUGGAAAGAUAGGGCCGCCAAAGCUAGAAAAAAAUUUGGAAUAUCUGGAAUACAGUCUGCUGGAAUUGGAAGGAAAAGUGAGGAAGAGAGUUAGCGACUGCCAGAACACUAAGGGAAACGAAGGAGAACACCUAGCAAAGGCAUUUUUACUGGUAAACCUAUGCGAACUGGAGGAUUUGAUCAACGAGAGCAUUCAACAUGAGGAAGGUCCUUCUGAGGCCAAAUAGAUUAGGUUUACUAGCUUUCCAAAUGUAAUAAGGUCAAGUGCUAGUAAUGACUUAUUAUUAUCUUAGUAUCGUUUUGGGAUUUUUCUAUUUUUAUAUUAUGAAAUGAAGCAUUUAUUGGCAUUCGAAGUUCUCCAAAGAGGUUCCCAAAUUAGGACACGCUCUACAUUCCCGCACUAUAUGUUUAAAUAUUGCAAUACUUUUUAUAAUCCUCACUAACUUGAUUACCUUUUGUUUUUAUUUUUGUUUUUAUUAUUCCCCUUCCCAAAGGUUAGUUCAUGCACUCUGGCAUCAUCAUCUUACUCCACGAGAUCUAGGGUCCCUCCACCCACUCCUCCUCUUAGUCCUAUUAAAAGCAAUAACAAAGGCAAGAUGGAAGAUUUGAACAACGUUAGGAAGGAGAACCCAACUAAACGGGUUGAGGCCACUGAUGGCCAUGGUAUUCGGGUUCCUAAUGAGAAUGUGUCAUAACUUGAACAGAAGCUGCUAAAAUUUCAGGAAGAGCUCGAUCAGGUUCGGAAUCUGGCAAGCCUGUCAUUUUCCCUCAGCACCUCAGAUAUCAAUUUUCCCAACACUUAAAACCCUACACCUCCUCAAAAUAUCCCAAAGCAUUAGAAUCAUCCCGCUCCUCACCAUCACACUGUUCCACCAAAGACCCAAUGCAACACCUGCCAUACCCCAAACAACACUCCACUACUCAUCCUAGAACCUCAGAACUCCACAAAUGACCAUUUCCACACACCAGGCCACCAUAACACUCCUAUCUAUAUGGGAUAUGAAUACACCUAGGAGGAAUUUAAUUUCUGGUCACCACCAUGGCGCAGUCCUUACCAUCCACUAGAGCAGCCGAUACCGCAUCUGGAGCAGACUUUCUAACAGGCUGACAUUAUUUAUGGGUCAGAUGAAGAAGAAGCACUUGCAGUGGUAAAGAACUUGUUUAUAGAGGACAAUGAUAUGGACUGUUGUGUUGUUCUCGAGGAGGAGUGGGAGGAAAGCCCUUCCAUAUAGGCUGUGAGCAGAGGGGCACAUCUCAAUUGUUGGACCAUCAGGACAACCAAAGCCCGACGUGCCUUAGGGUAGCAAGGCUAAAACAAGCAUUAUUCAUUGUUUUACUAAAUGAUUUUUUUCGCAUUUUCAAUUCCCGCAAUAAGAUCUUCGAUGUUCAAAACAGUUAUUCAGUUUAUCAAAAGCAUGUUCGAUUUUCCUUAUGAUUUAAUAUUUAUUGCUCUCUUUCCUUACUUUACCAAUACAUCAUUACUAUUACUUGUCUUGAUGAAUCAACGACUGCGACAUGCAAUGAGACAACGCAACAAACAGACAUUGAUUCAGAGGAAGAUGACAUACCUAACGAGAUUAUCAAAGAAGUUGAGAACUUUGAGAACAGACCUAAGUCCAACCUGGACGAUACCGAAACCGUCAACCUGGGAGAUGCAAAAAAUGUCAAGGAAACACGAAUUAGCAUUCACCUGUCGCCAUCAGAGAAGAAGAAUAUACAGAAUUUCUGAAAGAGUAUGAGGACAUAUUUGCCUGGUCGUAUGAUGACAUGACUGGUCUGAGUACAUCUAUUGUGGCUCACAAACUGCCAACCGAUCCAAUGUGUCCACCGGUAAAGCAAAAGCUUAGAAAGUUCAAGCCUGAUAUGAGUCUGAAAAUCAAGGAAGAAGUCACCAAGCAGGUCAAAACUAAGGUUCUCAGAGUAGUAGAAUACCCGACAUGGUUAGCCAAUAUUGUGCCAGUGCCAAAGAAGGAUGGGAAGUUCAGAUUCUGCGUUGACAAUUGCACCAACCGGGCCAGUCCGAAAGAUGACUUCCCUUUGCCCAAAAUACACAUCCUGAUUGAUAAUUGCGCCAAGCCUGAGUUGAAGUCAUUUCUAGAUUGCUUUGCUGGUUAUCAUCAGAUCUGGAUGGAUGAAUAAGAUGCUGAGAAAACGACUUUCAUUACACCGUGGGGAAUGUACUGGUACAAGAUGAUGCCAUUCAGCCUAAAGAAUGCAGGGGCCACCUACAUAAGGGCCAUGACUACCAUUUUCCAUGAUAUGAUACACAAGGAGAUAGAGGAAUAUGUAGAUGAUGUUAUUAUCAAAUCCAAGAAGGCUACCGACCACAUGGAAGAUCUUAGGAAGGUCUUCAAUAGACUGUGGAGGUACAACCUGAAACUAAACCCCGCAAAGUGCGCAUUUGGGGUUCCUGUUGAGAAAUUGCUUGGGUUUAUUGUAAGUCACCGAGGAAUAGAACUGGAUCCAUCAAAAGUCAAAGCCAUUCAAGAACUACCACCACCAAAUAACAAGAAGGAUGUGAUGAGUUUCUUGGGAAGGCUUAACUAUAUCAGCCGAUUCAUAGCAUAGUCUACAGUUAUCUGUGAGCCAAUCUCUAAGAUGUUAAAGAAGGACGUUGCUACCAAAUGGACCAAUGACUGCCAAAAGGCCUUCGACAGAAUCAAGGAGUACCUGUCAACACCACUAGUCCUAGUCUCGCCCGAGCCAGGUAGACCCUUACUACUCUACCUUGCAGUGUUAGAUGAAGCUUUCAGUUGUGUUCUAGGGUAGCAUGAUGAAAUGGGGAGGAAGUAACAUGCCAUUUAUUAUCUCAGUACGAAGUUCACCUCGUACGAGGCCCGAUAUUCUCUAUUGGAACGCACUUGUUGUGCUUUGACUUGGGUAGCUUAGAAGGUGAGACAUUACUUCUGCGCCUAUACUACAUAUCUUAUAUCGAGAAUGGAUCCUUUGAAGUACAUCUUUCAGAAGCCCAUGCCCACCGUCAAGCUGGCCAAGUGGCAAACACUAUUGAGUGAGUUCGACAUUGUCUAUGUAACUCAGAAAGCGGUCAAGGGACAAGCACUGGCAGACCACCUCGCUGAGAAUCCCGUGGAUGGAAAAUACAAACCCCUGAAAAUGUAUUUUCCUGGUGAAGAGGUAUCAUUCAUAGAAGAAGACAUUGCUGAAUCCUAUAACAGUUGGAGAAUGUUCUUCGAUGGAGCGAUAAACUUCAAAGGAGUUCGCAUAGGAGAAGUUCUAGUAUUAGAAACCGGUCAACAUUAUCUGGUGUUUGCCAAACUUAGGUUCCCGUGCACCAACAAUAUGGUCGAGUAUGAAGCCUGCAUCUUGGGACUCAAAAUGGCCAUUGACAUGAAUGUACAAGAGUUGCUAGUGAUUGGAUAUUCAGACCUACUUAUAAAUCAAGUGCGAUAAGAAUGGGCAACUAAGAACUCCAAGAUACUCCCGUAUCUGUAUCAUGUACAGGAAUUGAGAAAGAGGUUCACGAAGACGAAAUUCCAGCAUGUUCCCAGAGUCCCAAAUGAAUUCGCUGAUGCAUUUUCUACCCUAUCAUCUAUAAUACAACAUCCAGACAAGAAUUUCAUUGAUCCCAUUCCAGUGAAGAUCCAUGAUCAGUCAGCUUACUGUGCCCAUGUUGAAGAAGAAGCAGAUAGAAAGCCUUGGUUUCAUGAUAUCAAGGAAUAUUUGGCAAAAGGAGAGUACCCAGAGCUUGCAAAUCCUACUUAGAAACGUACACUUCGGAGAUUGUCCAACAACUUCUUUCGUAGCGGAGGAAUCCUCUAUAGGAGGACUCCCGAUUUGGGACUAUUAAGAUGUGUUGACACGAAAGAAACAUCCAGGAUAUUAGAGGAAAUUCAUGCUGGGACCUGCGGUCCACAUAUGAACGGUUUUGUCUUAGCAAAAAAGAUACUCUAGGCUGGUUACUUUUGGAUGACUAUGGAAACGGACUGCAUCCACUAUUUCUGGAAAUGCCACCGCUGUCAAAUACAUGCAGACAUGAUAAAGGUACCUCCAAGCGAGCUUCAUACAACAAGCUCACCGUGGCCGUUCGCCGCCCGGGGAAUGGACGUUAUUGGACCAAUCGAGCCUGCUGCUUCCAACGGACACAGGUUUAUCCUAGUAGCCAUCGACUAUUUCACCAAAUGGGUCAAAGCAACAUCUUACCGAGCAGUAACUAAGAAAGUCAUGGCAAAAUUUGUCCGUGACCGCAUUGUUUGUCGAUUUGGAAUCCCAGAGUUAAUCAUUACUGAUAAUGGCUCCUACCUCAAUAGCGACUUGAUGAAAGUUAUGUGUAAAACUAUCAAAAUCAAACACAAGAAUUCUACAGCUUACAGGCCUCAAAUGAAUGGAGCUGUAGAAGCCGCCAACAAGAAUAUCAAGAAGAUAUUGAGGAAAAUGAUAGAGAAGCAUAAACAGUGGCACGAGAAGUUAUCAUUUACUCUAUUAGGGUAUCGCACCAUAGUCCGCACAUCAACCGGGGCAACCCCUUAUAUGCUGGUUUAUGAUACAGAGGCUGUCAUUCCCGCUGAGGUAGAAAUUCCUUCCCUAAGAAUCAUACAUAAAGCUGAGCUCGACGACGCAAAAUGGGUAAAGAGUCGUUAUGAGCAACUAGCCAUUAUAGACGGAAAUAGAAUGAAUGCAAUUUUCCAUGGUCAAUAUAUCAGAACAGAAUGUCCAGAGCCUUCAACAAGAGAGUCAAACCAAGACAGUUCACACCGGGGCAACUAGUGUUAAGGAAACAUUUUCCAUAUCAAGAUGAAGCUAAAGGGAAGUUCUCUCCCAACUGGCACGGUUCCAUACAUGGUUCACCGGGUUCUGACAGGAGGAGCCCUCAUACUCGCAUAAAUGGACGGAGAAGUCAAAGCCGAUUAAUUCAGACACAGUCAAGUGUUACUAUGUGUAAUCUUUAUGCUUCCCUUAUAUGAUGUAAAUUGAACUACGCCUGACCGGAUUCCCAUUUAAUAGGGUAUACAUAGGUAGCCCUAUGGGUUUGGUCACAAUUCAAUAAAAAUUCCAUUUCCCCCCUGCAACUGGAAACUAGGGCAGAAUUUUGAGAAGGACCCUCAAAAUUCCGAAGUAACUUCAGCCGAUCAUCGCACAAGCAACAGUCAGAAAUGUCAACCCAUUAAACUGGGGCGGAAUUUUGAGGGGGACCCUCAAAAUUCCAUAGCUAGAGAGUUUGCAAUGUCCCGAGCCACGUCACAGUCAUCGGUUCAUCUAAAAUUAUUUUAAUUAUACACUUAUCUCAUAUCUUUACAAAAUCAUGUAUGUUUAUUAUUGAAACCAAUUUGUUUAGCAACACUACCCUAAUGAUAUAGUCGAUAUCACCAGAUCAAAGCUGAACAAGUCAAGCAAAGCCAGCGGGGAUACGAACUAACCCUUCCCCUUACAAAACUCAUGAUUUUUCUUUGGAUGCAGGCACUAGGAUU